UACGUAGGGGGCAAGCGUUGUACGGAUUUAUUGGGCGUAAAGAGCGUGUAGGCGGCCAGACAGGUCCGUUGUGAAAACUCGAGGCUCAACCUCGAGACGUCGACGGAAACCGUCUGGCUAGAGUCCGGAAGAGGAGUGUGGAAUUCCUGGUGUAGCGGUGAAAUGCGCUGAUAUCAGGAAGAACACCUAUGGCGAAGGCAGCACUCUGGGACGGUACUGACGCUGAGACGCGAAAGCGUGGGGAGCGAACAGG
rnacentral:rRNA from 1 species